GACGAACGCUGGCGGCGUGCUUAACACAUGCAAGUCGAACGAUGAACCGGUUUCGGCCGGGGAUUAGUGGCGAACGGGUGAGUAACACGUGGGCAAUCUGCCCUGCACUCUGGGAUAAGCCCGGGAAACUGGGUCUAAUACCGGAUACGACACUCCGAGGCAUCUUGGGGUGUGGAAAGUUCCGGCGGUGCAGGAUGAGCCCGCGGCCUAUCAGCUUGUUGGUGGGGUAAUGGCCUACCAAGGCGACGACGGGUAGCCGGCCUGAGAGGGUGACCGGCCACACGGGGACUGAAACACGGCCCGGCCCCCACGGGGGGGGAGGGGGGGGGAAAUUUCAAAAAGGGGGGAAGGCAUGAUGGAGGGAGCCGGGGGGGGGGAGGGCGGCCUUGGGGUUGAAACCCUUUUUAAGGGGGAAAGAAGGAAAAGGGGGGUAACCUGCAAAAGAAGCACCGGCAACAUACGG
rnacentral:rRNA from 1 species